AAGACGACUAAUCACAAAUAUGAUGACUAACAAUGUUGAAGGAGCUGCGUGUCAUGAUUACAGCUUUAGAAUCCACUCUUCCACUUCAUCUUGUAGUCCAGAUUCAUUACGAAAUGAUUCAUGUUUUGAAAUGAUCAUAAAGUUACGCAUAAAAGGUAAUUUCAAAAAGCGAAGCUGUACAUUCCAUUCAUGGUGAAUUCAUAAAAAAAUUCCCCUUUUAGAAAUCACCUUUACCUAUAUAUAGAGGAAUGGUACUUAGCCUUUUGGGCACUAUUAAAAUUGGCGCCAAAGGAAAGGUCUUCUUUUGCUGUCAAAAGAACACAGAAGUCUCAACAAAGUGGGAGAGGAUCAUCAACCUCAACAAAAUUCCUUUCUUGGGGUUCUCAACAGACUUUGUGUGGCAAAGGAGGUAGAAAUUGAAUGGGUCCUUUGAGUGAGGAGGGUUGGCCUGUCCAUGUGGACAGAUGAUGCCAACAUGGCUUGAUGGUAAAUCCUACCCUUGAGUGACUUCCACGAGGGCAUGGAAAAGAUUCAUGUACAAAUCUGCUCUACAUAAAUCCCUGGAUAUGCAGUCUUACAUAUAUGCUAUGGCUGGAAUUCUGAUUGGUUUUCUUUCCUAUGGCUAUCUCAUAUAUCAUGUACUUGUAUGAUGGCUGUGCAAACGGUGACUCAUGUUAUGUAUGUUGUUUAGUUCUUAAAAAACUUACUAUGUGAAAGGGGUAAUCGACAUGUUCAGAUAAGUGGAAUAUUAAUAAUAAUGAGUUUAAUUAAUUACCAUAUUAUUGAAUUCA